rnacentral:rRNA from 1 species
GAGUUUGAUCCUGGCUCAGAUUGAACGCUGGCGGCAUGCCUUACACAUGCAAGUCGAACGGCAGCACGGGAGCUUGCUCCUGGUGGCGAGUGGCGAACGGGUGAGUAAUGCAUCGGAACGUAUCCUGGAGUGGGGGAUAACGUAGCGAAGUUACGCUAAUACCGCAUAUUCUGUGAGCAGGAAAGCGGGGGACCUUCGGGCCUCGCGCUCUUGGAGCGGCCGAUGUCGGAUUAGCUAGUUGGUGAGGUAAAGGCUCACCAAGGCGACGAUCCGUAGCAGGUCUGAGAGGAUGAUCUGCCACACUGGAACUGAGACACGGUCCAGACUCCUACGGGAGGCAGCAGUGGGAUUUUGGACAAUGGGGGCAACCCUGAUCCAGCCAUGCCGCGUGAGUG